ensembl:lncRNA
UGUCAGGCCAGGUGUUCAACAUCAAACUGUCCCUGUCAGGCCAGGUGUUCAACAUCAAACUGAUCUUGUCAGGCCAGGUGUUCAACAUCAAACAUCAAACUGUUCCUGUCAGGCCAGGUGUUCAACAUCAAACUGUUCCUUUCAGGCCAGGUGUUCAACAUCAAACUGUUCCUGUCAGGCCAGGUGUUCAACAUCAAACUGUUCCUGUCAGGCCAGGUGUUCAACAUCAAACUGUUCCUGUCAGGCCAGGUGUUCAACAUCAAACUUUUCCUGUCAGGCCAGGUGUUCAACAUCAAACUGUCCCUGUCAGGCCAGGUGUUCAACAUCAAACUGUUCCUGUCAGGCCAGGUGUUCAACGUCAAACAUCAAACUGUUCCUGUCAGGCCAGGUGUUCAACAUCAAACUGAUCCUGUCAGGCCAGGUAUUCAACAUCAAACUGAUCCUGUCAGGCCAGGUCUUCAACAUCAAACAUCAAACUGUCCCUGUCAGGCCAGGUGUUCAACAUCAAACUGAUCCUGUCAGGCCAGGUGUUUAAUAUCAAACUGUUCCUGUCAGGCCAGGUGUUCAACAUCAAACUGUUCCUGUCAGGCCAGGUGUUCAACAUCAAACAUCAAACUGUUCCUGUCAGGCCAGGUGUUCAACAUCAAACUGUUCCUGUCAGGCCAGGUGUUCAACAUCAAACUGUUCCUGUCCACCACCACCACCACCCCUCUCUCCAUCAUCAUCAUCACCACCACCACCUCUCUCUCCAUCAUCAUCAUCACCACCACCACCUCUCUCUUCAUCAUCAUCAUCACCACCACCACCUCUCUCUCCAUCAUCAUCAUCACCACCACCACCACCUCUCUCUCCAUCAUCAUCAUCACCACCACCACCACCACCUCUCUC